rfam:Firmicutes bacterium CAG:646 genomic scaffold, scf9
AUGCGCAGCCGGGGAGAUAGCGGUGCCCUGUACCUGCAAUCCGCUAUAGCAGGGGUGAUACCAAUCUGAGGGCUUCUUCUUGCAGAGCUGCCUUCUAUAAGUGGCGUUGACGUUUGGGUCUUACGCAACAGAACUCUGUGAACCGUGUCAGGUCAGGAAUGAAGCAGCACUAAGCAGAACCUUCUGUGUGCCGUAAGGGUGCCUGAGCCGAGUUAACUGUAGGAGUAACGUCUGUGAGAGAAGUUCGAGGUGCGGUGCGCAU